UUCGUUAACAUACGCUUGCUAAUUUAAUUGUUAAAGGCUACUAAACUUUAAAUUUUUACUUUUUUGUCUUUCUCUUUCCGGGACCUCAAAGGAGCACUGUAGACCCUGGACAAAUUUUAAAUAAUAUAGAAAAUAGUUUCCAAUAUAGCAUGCUGUUUUAAUUUUUAACACUAUAUAUAUAUGAUUCAAUAUGAAAAGCAAUUAGGCCUAUGAGCAUUCAAAUCUUAUUGUUUACAUUUAUCCUAAUUUACUGAUGAUUUAUUUCGUUUAGGUUAAAUGUUACACUGGCUUUAACGAAAGAAUCCCAAUUAGUGAAGAUUUGACAGUGAACACUAGGGGAAUUGUAACUUCCGCCUCAUUGUUUCUAAAGGAAUGUCCGGACUGUUUAAAAGUAGAAAUAAUUGCUGGAUGUGCAGUAGGCGUUUACUUGAUCUUGGCACUUUCAAUUAUCGUCUGGUUGUGCAAAAAGGUUGUCCAGUCUCAGAGUCGCUCACAGAUGAUCCAGAGAAUUCCCACUAUACCAAGUAAAAGCAGCCAUAAACCUCACGCUUCUUCUGAAGGAAAACCAUCCAAUUUUUCUUCUGGUGAAGGUAAAGCUUCUCACGAAGACAGUGGUCACGUGGUAUCUAUUGGCGCAGAACCUCUGAGUCCUCUCGGCGAGUCACGAGAAGACCUCGUAGAAGCCGGGGAAUUCCCGCCAAAUUAUUUCGUCUUUGAGUUUCCGCUGCAGCUACAAAAGGAUCCCUGCAAAUUGCCGGUGACCAACAUCUGACAUAUGAUUUUUGUUUGCUACUUGUAGUUCUUUUUUUUUUAUAUCUAAACGGCCUUCAACCAUAAAAUUCAAACGUCUUAAUAUCAAUACAUUGCGUAAUUAAACCGAAGUCUAUAGAAGAACGCCGCAAAAUAGUACAUAAUAAUGUGAUCUUUUUGUUUUACUUCAUAUGACUACAAAUAAUAUAUUUUUUCGCGUUGCUCUUAAGACAUAGUGACUUAACUGAAACAUAAGUGUUUGUUUUUCCUCAAACUGGAAAUUUUAACAAAUGUGUAUAUGCAACAAAAAUAGAGUAUUUUUAUAUAAAAUUUUGAUUUAUUAUGUGAUUUUGCUAGCAUGUUAUUAACGACAACAACAGUGAAAAAUCAGAUGCGCAUGUUGUCAGAGUGUAUUUAAGUUGUAAAUACUGCAGUGUUCUUUAUCUUGUAAAUAAAGAAAACUAUUUAUUAAUGUAACAUAAGAUAAUUAUGUGUCAUUAGAUAUAUCUAUAUACAUAUGAAUAAAGAAUCAGAAAUAUCAAUGAUGUACGUCCUUUUCAAUCGUUCAACUCCUUGUAACUCCACUGAUACAUACCCUGCUUUAAAUGUAUAAAACUUUCCUGAAUAUGGGUCUCGGCAAAGAUGGCUUAUCUGAUAACUUAACUCUGACUUGUAUAUCAUUCAGCUAUUUUGAUCUCAUUCAUAUUAUCAGACAAAAUACUUAUGCGAAUUCAUCUCAAAUUACAGAACAAACACGAAAGAAAAGUUGUUGAUUAUUUCUUAGUGCAAAACUACCCAAUGGGCUAUCUGUAUUGUGUCCGUCGUGGGGAAUCGAACCGCGGAUUUUAGCAUCGUAAGUCUGUAAACUUACUGCUGACCCAUCGUGGGACACGAAGUGAAAUAUAAUGAGAAUUUGUAAAAUCAUGGCGAUGAUGUAAUGUCAAUUAUCCACCUCAGUUUGUUGUUAUACAAGUCAGACAUCUGUUGAUCAAGUGUGUGACCUUUAACUGUAAAUGACUGAUCAUUCAGCCUGUGCUACCAUAUACAGGAUGAAGCAAAAGUCAGUAUACAGUUAUACAUAGUUAAAUAAUUUUACUCUUGUAGAAAGGAUUCGGUUUUAUCUUUGUCUUGUUUGUUGUGAUGGUGACUUUUGCCUGUACAUGUAGUAGUCUCAAUUGUCACUUGAAAUGAAUAACAGAGUUUAAAGUGCUCUACAUUUUUAAAAACUGUGGUUCAAAUGAAUAACAGAGUUUAAAUUGCUCUACAUUUUUAAAAACUGUGGUUCAAAUGAAUAACGGUUUAAAGUGCUCUACAUUUUUAAAAACUGUGGUUCAAAUGAAUAACAGAGUUUAAAGUACUCUACAUUUAAAAAAUGGUUGAAAUGAAUAACAGAGUUUAAAGUGCUCUACAUUUUUAAAAACUGUGGUUCAAAUGAAUAACGGUUUAAAGUGCUCUACAUUUUUAUCAGCUAUGGUUAUCCUUCAAAAAAAAACAUUUGGAUACUUCGUUAAUGUCGAUACCAAUCGAAGCUAGUCAAUCACAAUAGGCUUUAAAUAAACGUCCAGACUUUUGAGUGUGGCCAUCAUCAGGAAACUAUGUAUUGUGUAAAAUAUUGCGCGAG